rnacentral:misc_RNA from 1 species
GAACGCAAAUUGCACUCUCUGGUAUUCCGGAGAGUAUGCCUGUUUGAGGGUCAGUCAAAUAAAAAUCGAUGUUGUUGUCACCGUGAUAACGCGUCGGAAUUGAGUCGUCUUACCUUCGGUUAAGUGACUUAAAAUUUUUACGCGAAUUCGAAACGUAUUUAAUGUUUAUGUACGUUUGCGAUAUUCCAACAUUUUUAUUAGGUGCGGUCAUUCCUAUGAUUCGCGUCUAUAAUUUUUCAUUUCUUGACCUCAAAUCAGGUAAGAGUACCCGCUGAACUUAA